rnacentral:rRNA from 1 species
UGAGUAGGCGGUUUGUUAGGUCACAUGUGAAAUCCCCGGGCUCAACCUGGGAACUGCAUGAGAAACCGGCAGACUAGAGUGCAGGAGAGGUAAGCGGAAUUCCUAGUGUAGCGGUGAAAUGCGUAGAUAUUAGGAAGAACACCGGUGGCGAAGGCGGCUUACUGGACUGAAACUGACGCUGAUACACGAAAGCGUGGGGAGCGAACAGGAUUAGAUACCCUGGUAGUCCACGCUGUAAACGAUGAAUGCUAGGUGUCGGGGCGAGAGCUUCGGUGCCGGAGUUAACACAAUAAGCAUUCCGCCUGGGGAGUACGUACGCAAGUAUGAA